rnacentral:rRNA from 1 species
AACUUUCAGCAACGGAUCUCUUGGCUCUCGCAUCGAUGAAGAACGCAGCGAAAUGCGAUAAGUAAUGUGAAUUGCAGAAUUCAGUGAAUCAUCGAAUCUUUGAACGCACCUUGCGCUCCUUGGUAUUCCGAGGAGCAUGCCUGUUUGAGUGUCCA